GCUACAGGCUUAACACAUGCAAGUCGAGGGGUAGCACAGAAGAAGCUUGCUUCUUUGGGUGACGACCGGCGCACGGGUGAGUAACGCGUAUCCGACCUACCCAUAACACGGGCACAGCCGCUCGAAAGAGUGAUUGAUUCCCGAUAUGUCUUUAGAGUAGAUCUAAUGAUGAAAGAUUUAUCGGUUAUGGAUGGGGAUGCGUAAGAUUAGGUAGUAGGCGGGGUAACGGCCCACCUAGCCGACGAUCUUUAGGGGUUCUGAGAGGAAGGUCCCCCACACUGGUACUGAGACACGGACCAGACUCCUACGGGAGGCAGCAGUGAGGAAUAUUGGUCAAUGGGCGGAAGCCUGAACCAGCCAAGUAGCGUGAAGGAUUACAGCCCUACGGGUUUUAAACUUCUUUUAUAUAAGAGUAAUGUGCACUACGUGUAGUGUAUUGCAAGUAUUAUAUGAAUAAGCAUCGGCUAACUCCGUGCCAGCAGCCGCGGUAAUACGGAGGAUGCAAGCGUUAUCCGGAUUUAUUGGGUUUAAAGGGAGCGUAGGUGGUUUGUUAAGCCAGCUGUGAAAUACUGUAGCUCAACUACAGCCGUGCAGUUGGAACUGGCAGACUUGAGUGCACAAGAGGAAGGUGGAAUUCGUGGUGUAGCGGUGAAAUGCUUAGAUAUCACG
rnacentral:rRNA from 1 species